CCUGUCCCUAAAAGCACUGCAGAUGUAGCUGUUAUUUCACAUGUGUGUCAGUAGGUGGCAGAGAGGAGAGCUGCUAUGUUUAUGCUCAGUGUCCUGAUCUAUGAACUUCUGAAUGUUUCUUAGCCUAACACU